GCAGUCGGCCCGCCUCGUUCGAGUUUGCGCGCGGCGCGGACACUGGGGACGAGGCUUCCCGGCUGCGAGGCAGCUUGAGGUUGAGGACGCGAAGACGGCUGGGCCGCACACCUGUCCGUCCUCAGCUGGCCAUGGCCCUGCUCUGGACGGGUGCCCUUUGAGGCCAGCCCUCACCUCUGAAAAUGAGUGCAUGGGUGUUUUACCUGCAUGUCUGCAUCAUGUGCUUCGCAGGGCCUGUGGAGGCCAGAAAGAUGAUGUUGGAUCCCCGGAAUUGGACUUACAGACGCUUGUGAGACAACACGUACUUCUAGCCUUGACGUGGUCAUGGGAUGUUCCAAGGGGGAUAUGGCCAAGGUCAGCAGAAGUCAGAAAGCAAGGAGAACACAAGCUGCCUCAGACACAGCCGCCUUAGGGCUGACAACCACAGCCCAGGAGGUCCCCAGACACUGCAGCCACGUCUCCUCAGAAGCUCUGGCUCUGUCAUCAGUCCAGCCUUGCCACUUCUGUUCCUGGACAACCGCAAACCUUUCACCAUGGCCUCUAAGAAAGCCUUGGGUCAGUCUGGCUCCCAACACAGGGCUGUUGUUUGCCUCAAGCUAAGGAUCACCGGAUGGGUGAGUUCUGCCUGUGGCAGUUUCCAUAUCAGGUUCAUACCACUUUCUGAAAGAACACACAGGAAACCAGGCACCUGGCAAAGGAACUAGACCGGUGAGAGGAGAGCCACCAAUUUCCACCAAUCCCAUUGGGGCCCCACUGCCAAUAAAAGAUGAAAACAAAUGCAGGACCACAUUCAGGGAUUCCAGAAGCUUCGCCUCUGGUGUCUGAAUAGCCAUAAGGCAGCGUUGGUGCUCUCAGAGGAGGGCAGGGCUUCUGCGACCAACCAUCUCAGGUUGCCUUCAUUGCUACAGUUCACCCUUGGUUCGUGUCCACUCCUCUGACCCAAGGGCUGGAGCAAUACUUGCUGCAGAUCCAAGAGGACCUGAAUCUGAAU